AACGAACGCUGGCGGCAGGCUUAACACAUGCAAGUCGAACGGUUGCAGCAAUGCAGCAGUGGCAGACGGGUGAGUAACACGUGGGAACCUUCCUAGGGGUACGGAACAACUCAGGGAAACUUGAGCUAAUACCGUAUACGUCCGUGAGGAGAAAGAUUUAUCGCCCUUAGACGGGCCCGCGUCGGAUUAGCUAGUUGGUGGGGUAACGGCCUACCAAGGCGACGAUCGUAGCUGAUCUUAGAGGAUGAUCAGCCACACUGGGACUGAGACACGGCCCAGACUCCUACGGGAGGCAGCAGUGGGGAAUCUUGGACAAUGGGCGCAAGCCUGAUCCAGCCAUGCCGCGUGAGUGAAGAAGGUCUUCGGAUUGUAAAGCUCUUUUGCCAGGGACGAUAAUGACGGUACCUGGAGAAUAAGCCCCGGCAAACUUCGUGCCAGCCGCCGCGGUAAUAC
rnacentral:rRNA from 1 species